rnacentral:rRNA from 1 species
CGGGACGGGGUGGAGUAAUGUCUGGGAAACGUGCCUGAUGGAGGGGGGAGAACACUGGAAACGGUAGCUAAUACCGCAUAACGUCGCAAGACCAAAGAGGGGGACCUUCGGGCCUCUUGCCAUCGGAUGUGCCCAGAUGGGAUUAGCUAGUAGGUGGGGUAACGGCUCACCUAGGCGACGAUCCCUAGCUGGUCUGAGAGGAUGACCAGCCACACUGGAACUGAGACACGGUCCAG